rnacentral:rRNA from 1 species
UACGGAGGGUGCAAGCGUUACUCGGAAUUACUGGGCGUAAAGCGUGCGCAGGCGGUUUGUUAAGUCUGCUGUGAAAUCCCCGAGCUCAACUUGGGAAUUGCAGUGGAUACUGGCAAGCUAGAGUAUGGUAGAGGAAGGUGGAAUUCCCGGUGUAGCAGUGAAAUGCGUAGAGAUCGGGAGGAACACCAGUGGCGAAGGCGGCCUUCUGGACCAAUACUGACGCUCAUGCACGAAAGCGUGGGGAGCAAACAGG